UUUGAUAAUGUUUCCUGAUUUUCCAAGGAAAUCAUUGCUUUCCAACUUCAGACUGGUUUUGCCACAUGAGGAGGUGUAAAGAAUUGGUGUCCUCAUUUAGAUAUGGCCGUACAUUGCACAUGACAUUAAGCAAAGUAGCAGCAUUUCCUGUGACAAAAAAGAAAAGGGAGAAGGAAAUGCAUUCCAAGUGCAACCCCCAAUGGUCUUUCCAUGUGGGAGGGAGGCAGAUUGUCCAGACUUUCCCUGCCUUGGCAGCUCAAAAACCUCAGUCAUAAAAACACUGGCAUAUGUGCUUAUUUGUGUUUUAUUUGAAUACUCUCACUGGAGUAACAGGAAAGAUGAGCAGAAUAUGAAAAGGAAAAAUUGUAAGAGUAAAAUAUAUUCAAAGAGAACUUCCAAGGUGAUGGAUUAAAUAAAGAUCAUGUGAAGAUACAGAAAAUCAUAAUAAAUAACAAUUUUGCCAGAGAGGUGGAUGUCCCAUCCCUGCAAACAUUCAAGGCCAGUUUGGGUGGGUCUGAACAAUCUGAUCUUGUUGAGGAUGGCCCUGCCCGUGGCACAGGGAAGUGAACCAGAUGGCCUUUAAAUGCCCCUUCUAACCCAAACUAUCCUAUGAUUUUAUGAAUAACUGCAAAACCUAGAUUAAACCAUAAACUUAGGCUUUCUUCUAUUCUUCUAUUGCAUUUAUUUAUUUUUUUUUUUUUGUGAUAAGAAAGAAAGAUUAAUUCAAAAAGCUUGAGAUGGAAAAGAAGUGAAAGGAGAUUGGCAACCAAAAGGGAGAGAUUUCUCUUUACACCUUCAAGUUAAGGCAGGACAUAUUGCCUCUUUUUAACUCUUUUUUCUCCCUUUGAGAUGACCCCAAUUCUGCAUUUCUUAUACAAAUUAAAUAAUAAUAAUAAUGAUGAUGAUGAUGAUGAUGAUGAUGAUGAUGAUGAUGAUGAUGAUGAAAAUUCUACCUGGCCUCUGUGAAAAUGAUCCCAAAUCCAGAAAACUGCCAAACCAAGUAAAGAUUUAAAUGUAUUUUCAGGCCCCUAUCUGCAGCAUGAUGGUUUUGGAAAGAGUGGCCCCUGUAGGCAUUUUGAAAUCAAUGCUCUGCACUGCUAAAACUCAGCUCAUUUCAGCUCUUGCUUCUUAACCUUUAGCAGACGUGUUUGAAAAUCAUCUUCUCAGAGCUUAUUUUGCCAAAUAACAAACCCAUUGCAGUGGACCUACAGACAAUAUGAAUCACUGAGUCUCCUAUAUAAAGCCUGGCAUCACAUCUGCUGCUCAGCUAAUGACAGAAGAAAGAUCUCUGCUGUUCUGACCUCCAAAUUUGUGGGAUCCUCGUCUCUGCAGUGGAGCUGGGACCAUGUGUUGCCUCCCACCUCUGUUCUCACUGCUUCAAGGAAGUAGCAGACUAACACAUGAGUGAGUUCUGUGCGAGGCUCUCAGCAGUUGCCUGAAUUACUCAUCCCUAAAGCCAAAUUUGCUCUGAAACGUGAUAUAAAAGUGGCACCUGUCUCAAUAAGCUGUGUGCUUCUCAUGUGUAUCCACCCUUGUGCAAUGUUCAGCCUCAGAGAGGUUGGAACUUUGGAUGUGGGAAAAGUGAAGCACAGAUAUUGUAUUUUCCUGCUUGGAUAUGAAGCUUUUAGUACAGUUUCUGAUAUUUAUGGAAGUUAAUCACGUAGGUAUAAUGUUUUCUAAAUUGUGGCAGUUGCUAGUAAACUAAUCAAGAUGAAAUCAUAAUUGUGCUGGGUUUUGCACAAACACAGAGGAAGAUGGAGUCUGCUUUCAACAAUGUGCAUUCUGACUGUAAGUCAUAAUCCUUCAGAAUCAUGAUCGGUGUUCUGCUUCAUCACAUUAAUAUAAUCAGCAGAGUAGCUGUGUGUGGCUGCCCAGACCUGCCUGUGAAAUUCCAGAAUGCGAGGGUGUCACUGAGGGCUUGCUUUGAUGGCCUGAAGAUUCAGAGGAGAUGAGCUGCAGUGGAGGUUACAGAGUCCCACUGUUUCAGUCUUUCUAUUCUGGGAAAAAUCAUUGGAGAGCUUUGAAUAUCAUCGUGCCUUCUGUCUUAAUGAAUCCCCUUUAAAACUUGCUUUUCAGACUUUGGAUGUUUACUGUUAACACCAUAAAACUAGAUAACCUACAGAGGCGUUUUGGUAAUGAAAAAUACAAAUAUAGAUUAAUAGCUUCUUUUUUUUUUUUUCCAAUUGGUAGUCAGGCUCCCUUGCAAGUCUUCAGUAUUCACCCAUCUAAGACUGAUUUUUCAUUUUCUCCCCAGGUCACUUAGCUCUUUAUUUCUGAGAUUUGAUUUCAUUAUCUGCAUAACAUGCAGACAUGGGAAAUGAUUGUGGAUGGAACACACGGUGCUAAAAUUCCACCUCACAAUUCACAGUCACUUCAAUAUUUCUUAUUCUGAUGGAAUUACCUCUUUUAAAGUUAUCUUUUCAACUCUCCUGAGAAUUGGGAAAGUAUUUUGAAGAUCUAAUUAUAUGUCUUACUAAAAACUGCCAAUAAGAACAUCAGGCUGAGUCAGACUGAGCAAAUUCUUGGAAGCAGACACACCUCACCAGCCCAUGGCUUAGUGCUGCCAUUCCUCACUAGAUUUUUGUGGAAUCACAGGGUGGUUUGGAUUGGAAAGGACCCUAAUACUCAUCCCUAUCCAACACUCUGCCAUGGCAGGGACAUCUCCCACUGUCCCAUAUUGCUCCAAGCCCUGUCCAGCCUGGCCUGGGACACUUCCAGGGAUCCAGGGGCAGCCACAGCUGCUCUGGGCACCCUGUGCCAGGGCCUGUCCACCCUCACAGGGAACAAUUCCUUCCUAAAAUCUAACCCAGGCUCCUCAGUACAAUUUAAACAAGGAGCUACUGGAGAAGGUCCAGCAGAGGCCACAAGGAUGAUGAAGGGUCUGGAGCAUCCCCCACAUCAGGAGAUACUGUAGGAAUUGGGCUUGUUUAGUCUGGAAAAGAGAAGAGGGAUCUCAUCAGUCCAUACAAAUAUUUCCAAGGCAGGGAUCACAGGAUGGUGCCAGACUCCUUGCAGUGGUGCCCAGUGACAGGACAAGGACUAAUGGCCAUAAACCAAAACACAAGAAGCUUCACCUCAAUGUGACAAAGAACUUAUUUAUGUUGAGGGUGGCAGAGCACUGGAACGGCUGCCCAGGCAGGGUCUGGAUCUGAUAAGAUUUCUUUUUCACCACCAAUUCUCAGUUUAUACUGGAAAUUAUGCUUUUAUACAGCUGUUAAGGGGUAUUCAUCCAGCUCCUACAGACUGAGGUUUGUGUUAUUACUAAAGCUGCUUAGAAAUAUUGCAUGAAAUAAAUUCUUCACAGAAAAUGAUCAUUUUCUUAAAAACUUGAAAACUUUCAGAAAUUAUCCAGAAAUUUAAUUUUUUUAAAAUUAAAAAAAAUUAUAUAUUAAAAAAAAAGCCUGAGAGUGUUGAAAAGUCUAGUGUGGAUUUUUUCCAGUAGUUUCUAGUAUUCAUUUUGCAAAUUAUUAUUAUUAUUAUUAUUAUUAUUAUUAUUAUUAUUAUUAUUAUUAUUAUUAUUAUUAUGUUUUAGCUUAUAAUUAUUAUUGAUUAACCAAUUUAUUAAUUUAUCAAUUCAUUUGUAGUUUAGCAUCACAAAUAAAAAUAUUUACAUAUGAAUAAUUAUGAAAAAUUAAACCCUCAUUUUUACAAUGGCCAGGGAGAUUUUUCUUUGUUUAAAAGAAUUUUGCUAUGUUUUACAUUUUCAUAUUUUAUCUGAAAGUAGAAAAAAAGAAAAAAUUUUAAAAUACUGUAUUUUUCUUAGUGUGGGAUUCUGCUUUUCCUUGCAGUUUUGGGCAACAAAACUUCAUUAAAACAUAUAUAUUAAUAGGAACUGUGGAGUAGAAAGUCCUGAAAUAUCUGCAUUACUAGUUGCAUUUUGCUAAAUACUUUUGAACAUUUAGUUCUGACAUCCUGGGCUUUCACUUUAAUGGAAUGAAUGCCUAAUAGAAAUUAAUCUUACUGUUAGAAAUCUAAGUUUGGGUGUGCAAAAUGCAAACAUAUUUGGGUGUAUCAAAAUGGAUUUUUUGCCACCUGAUUAUAGUUUUGUGGCCUUUAUGUGUUGUUGGGUAGAGUCCAGCUCA